UACGAGGGGGGCGAGCGUUGUUUGGAAUUAUUGGGCGUAAAGCGCACGUAGGCGGCUUUGUAAGUUAGAGGUGAAAGCCCAGGGCUUAACCCUGGAAUUGCCUUUAAGACUGCAUCGCUAGAAUCGUGGAGAGGUGAGUGGAAUUCCGAGUGUAGAGGUGAAAUUCGUAGAUAUUCGGAAGAACACCAGUGGCGAAGGCGACUCACUGGACACGUAUUGACGCUGAGGUGCGAAAGCGUGGGGAGCAAACAGG
rnacentral:rRNA from 1 species